UACGUAGGGGGCAAGCGUUGUCCGGAAUCAUUGGGCGUAAAGCGCGCGUAGGUGGCCAACUAAGUCAGACGUGAAAUCCCCAGGCUCAACUUGGGAACUGCGUCUGAUACUGGAUGGCUUGAAUUCGGGAGAGGGAUGCGAAUUCCAGGUGUAGCGGUGAAAUGCGUAGAUAUCUGGAGGAAUACCGGUGGCGAAGGCGGCAUCUGGACCGAGAUUGACACUGAUGAGCGAAAGCUAGGGGAGCAAACGGG
rnacentral:rRNA from 1 species